rnacentral:rRNA from 1 species
GACGAACGCUGGCGGCGUGCUUAACACAUGCAAGUCGUACGGUAAGGCCCUUUCGGGGGUACACGAGUGGCGAACGGGUGAGUAACACGUGAGUAACCUGCCCACAACUUUGGGAUAACGCUAGGAAACUGGUGCUAAUACUGGAUAUGUGCUCCUGCUGCAUGGUGGGGGUUGGAAAGCUCCGGCGGUUGUGGAUGGACUCGCGGCCUAUCAGCUUGUUGGUGGGGUAGUGGCCUACCAAGGCGGCGACGGGUAGCCGGCCUGAGAGGGUGACCGGCCACAUUGGGUCUGGGAUACGGCCCAGGCUCCUACUGGAGGCAGCAGUGGGGAUUGUUGCACCAUGGGCGCCAGCCUGAUGCAGCAGCGCCGCGUGCGGGAUGACGGCCUUCGGGUUGUAAUCCGCUUUCAGCAGGGGCGAAGCUUUUUGUGACGGUACCUGCAGUAGAAGCACCGGCUAACUACGUG